GUCGGUGGAGACCAUGGCGGUGGAGGCGGUGGAGGAGGUGCCGGAGCCGGCGCCGGCGGCCCCGUCGGGGCGGCCGGCGGUGGGGCCGAGGACGAAGGGGCGUCGGCGCCGGGUGACGGCGCCGUGGAACCUGGCGGAGCCGCCCACGCUGCCGCCGCCGCUCCCGGCGGCGCGGCGGUGCACGCACUGCGCGUCGGAGGUGACCCCGCAGUGGCGGCAGGGGCCGCUGGGCCCCCGCACGCUGUGCAACGCGUGCGGCGUGCGGUACAAGACGGGGCGGCUGCUCCCGGAGUACCGGCCGGCCAACAGCCCCACCUUCUCCCCGCUGCUGCACUCCAACUCCCACCGCCGCGUCAUGCAGAUUCGGCUCCGGAGCGAGAGCGAGGGCGAGGGCGAGGGCGCCUCCCCCGCCGUCCGCGCCAUCGCCAAGGCCCGCCGCGCCGAGCGCGCGGCGGCGCGCCUCGCUGCCAAGAAAGACGACGGCGCCCCGGCCCCUGCCCCUGCCCAGGCGGCGCUGCCGUAGGAGCGAGCAUCAUCGAUAGCCAAGCCAUGGAGCUGGUAGAUUAAAUUAGAGAUCCUAUCCGUGAUUAGCGUCGUCGUCGGCUCCUUCAUCCGUGAUUUUCGUGUCGAAUUUCCAUUUUGUCAUGUCAUAGGGACUGCACUUUUAGGAUUAGGGGUUUAAGAGCAGCCAGCAAUCAAUCUAGCUGCUCCCAUGGGUCAGUCUAUCAGUCAGUCAGUCAGCCUCUUCCGGUCGUCAGUCGUCUUAGUCGAGUUCGUCGAGUCAAGCUAGCGGAAGCGAGAAACUUAUUAGAAGAGCAGGCAGGCAGGCAGGCAUCACCAUCCCGUGCAACUCUGCUGCUGCUGCUCAUGGUGGCCGAUACCUGAUAAACCAUUGCAUAUUUGCGUGUCUUGAAAUGGAACACUCGCUUGUCAUGUUCAUCAGUUGAUGUGUGUAUGUUCUGCUGUCUGUUUUGCCUUCAGCGUAGCAUGAUUUCGACAGCUCUAUUUUCUUUCAGUAUCCAAGUUACUCUACAU
rnacentral:lncRNA from 1 species